AUGGGGACAUGGGGACACCAUGGGGACAUGAGACAUUGGGGAAUGGGGACAUGGGGACACCAUGGGGACACCAUGGGGACAUGGGGACACGGAGCCCCACCCACCGGUGUAGGCGUAGAUGCGGUAGUUGGUCUCCACCACGAUGAAGCCGCGGGUGUCGGGCUCUGGAGGUGUCCCCGAUGUCCCCGAGGCCAAAGCGAUGGCCAAACGCGUGGGGUAGAAGCGACGGGACUUGCGCUGUGGGGUGGACGUGGGUCCCCAGGUGUCCCCAUGGUGUCCCCAUGGUGUCCCCACAUCUCCGUGAUGCCUCCGUGAUGACCCCUUGACCCCAUAAUGUCCCCGCAUCUCCGUGAUGCCCCCUCGAUGUCCCCUUGAUCCCAUAAUGUUCCCACAUCUCCGUGAUGCCCCCAUGAUGUCCCCUUGACCCAAAAAUUUCCCCAUGACAUCCCCAUGAUGUCCCCAUGAUGUUCCCACAUCCCCAUGAUGUCCCCUUGGCCCCACAAUGUCCCCAUGGUGACCCCACACGUGAUGUCCCCAUGAUGUCCCCUUGACCCAAAAAUUUCCCCAUGACAUCCCCAUGAUGUCCCCAUGAUGUUCCCACAUCCCCAUGAUGUCCCCUUGGCCCCACAAUGUCCCCAUAAUAUCCCCAUGAUGUCCCCUUGACCCCACAAUGUCCCCACAUCUCCAUGAUGUCCCCAUGAUGUCCCCUUGAUCCCAUAAUGUCCCCAUAACUCCAUGAUGCCCCCAUGAUGUUGCCUUGACCCUACAAUGUCCCCAUGAUGUCCCCUUGGCCCCAUAAUGUCCCCAUGAUGUCCCCUUGACCCCAAAAUGUCCCCACAUCUCCACGAUGUCCCCAUGAUGCUCCCUUGGCCCCACAGCGUCCUCACACCUCCAUGAUGUCCCCAUGACCCCACAAUGUCCCCAUGAUGUCCCCAUAUCUCCAUGAUGUCCCCAUGACGUCCCCUUGACCCCACAAUGUCCCUACGAUGUCCCCUUGACCCCACAAUGUCCCCAUGAUGUCCCCAUAUCUCCAUGAUGUCCCCAUGACGUCCCCUUGACCCCACAAUGUCCCUACGAUGUCCCCUUGACCCCACAAUGUCCCCAUGAUGUCCCCAUAUCUCCAUGAUGUCCCCAUGACGUCCCCUUGACCCCACAAUGUCCCUACGAUGUCCCCUUGACCCCACAAUGUCCCCAUGAUGUCCCCAUAUCUCCAUGAUGUCCCCAUGACGUCCCCUUGACCCCACAAUGUCCCUACGACGUCCCCUUGACCCUACAAUGUCCCCAUGACAUCCCCUUGACCCCACAAUGUCA
rnacentral:lncRNA from 1 species